rnacentral:rRNA from 1 species
CCUACGGGCGGCAGCAGUGAGGAAUAUUGGUCAAUGGACGAGAGUCUGAACCAGCCAAGUAGCGUGAAGGAUGACUGCCCUAUGGGUUGUAAACUUCUUUUAUAUGGGAAUAAAACGUUCCACGUGUGGGAUUUUGUAUGUACCAUAUGAAUAAGGAUCGGCUAACUCCGUGCCAGCAGCCGCGGUAAUACGGAGGAUCCGAGCGUUAUCCGGAUUUAUUGGGUUUAAAGGGAGCGUAGGUGGAUUGUUAAGUCAGUUGUGAAAGUUUGCGGCUCAACCGUAAAAUUGCAGUUGAUACUGGCAGUCUUGAGUACAGUAGAGGUGGGCGGAAUUCGUGGUGUAGCGGUGAAAUGCUUAGAUAUCACGAAGAACUCCGAUUGCGAAGGCAGUUCACUGGACUGCAACUGACACUGAGGCUCGAAAGUGUGGGUAUCAAACAGGAUUAGAUACCCUUGUAGUC